rnacentral:misc_RNA from 1 species
GAUGAAGACGUAGCGAAAUGCGAUACGUAAUGUGAAUUGCAGAAUUCAGUGAAUCAUCGAGUCUUUGAACGCACAUUGCGCCCCCUGGUAUUCCGGGGGGCAUGCCUGUCCGAGCGUCAUUGCUGCCCUCAAGCACGGCUUGUGUGUUGGGCCUCCGUCCUCCUCCCGGGGGACGGGCCCGAAAGGCAGCGGCGGCACCGCGUCCGGUCCUCGAGCGUAUGGGGCUUCGUCACCCGCUCUUGUAGGCCCGGUCGGCGCUUGCCGACACAUCAAUCUUUUUUCCAGGUUGACCUCGGAUCAGGUAGGGAUACCCGCUGAACUUAAGCAUAUCAAUAAGCGGAGGA